rnacentral:rRNA from 1 species
AUUGAACGCUGGCGGCAGGCCUAACACAUGCAAGUCGAGCGGUAGAGAGAAGCUUGCUUCUCUUGAGAGCGGCGGACGGGUGAGUAAUGCCUAGGAAUCUGCCUGGUAGUGGGGGAUAACGUUCGGAAACGGACGCUAAUACCGCAUACGUCCUACGGGAGAAAGCAGGGGACCUUCGGGCCUUGCGCUAUCAGAUGAGCCUAGGUCGGAUUAGCUAGUUGGUGGGGUAAUGGCUCACCAAGGCGACGAUCCGUAACUGGUCUGAGAGGAUGAUCAGUCACACUGGAACUGAGACACGGUCCAGACUCCUACGGGAGGCAGCAGUGGGGAAUAUUGGACAAUGGGCGAAAGCCUGAUCCAGCCAUGCCGCGUGUGUGAAGAAGGUCUUCGGAUUGUAAAGCACUUUAAGUUGGGAGGAAGGGCAUUAACCUAAUACGUUGGUGUUUUGACGUUACCGACAGAAUAAGCACCGGCUAACUCUGUGC